rnacentral:rRNA from 1 species
AUUGAACGCUGGUGGCAGGCUUAACACAUGCAAGUCGAGCGGGGGAAGGUAGCUUGCUACCGGACCUAGCGGCGGACGGGUGAGUAAUGCUUAGGAAUCUGCCUAUUAGUGGGGGACAACAUCUCGAAAGGGAUGCUAAUACCGCAUACGUCCUACGGGAGAAAGCAGGGGAUCUUCGGACCUUGCGCUAAUAGAUGAGCCUAAGUCGGAUUAGCUAGUUGGUGGGGUAAGGGCCUACCAAGGCGACGAUCUGUAGCGGGUCUGAGAGGAUGAUCCGCCACACUGGGACUGGGACACGGCCCAGACUCCUACGGGAGGCAGCAGUGGGGAAUAUUGGACAAUGGGGGGAACCCUGAUCCAGCCAUGCCGCGUGUGUGAAGAAGGCCUUAUGGUUGUAAAGCACUUUAAGCGAGGAGGAGGCUACUCUAGUUAAUACCUAGGGAUAGUGGACGUUACUCGCAGAAUAAGCACCGGCUAACUCUGUGCCAGCCGCCGCGGUAA